UUCUACCCUACACAUCUCCACUCACCAUCUCCAGAGCCCUAAUAUGGUUCCAAGUUAGGGUUUCUGGUGUUUGUGAGCCCCGUUCCAAGCUGUGCUCCGUCCACCCCACUCAAAACACUAAAGAUUCCGGCCGCCUCCACUCAAUUUCUACCACCUCCGGCGACAUACACGGUCACCUCCACUAAAAUGCAACCACUUCCGGUCAUCUCUGCUGAAAUCCGGUCACCUCUACUGAAAUCCGGCCAUCUCCACUGAAAUCCGAUCACCUCUACUGAAAUCCAGCCAUCUCCACUGAAAUCUGGUCACCUCUGGCACUAUUCCAGAGUUGGUUCGAAAACCCGGAUUUUAGAAAUGAACUUCAAAACUUUUUGAGUUCAAGUUACCCGACAAAGUUUGGAAGCGAAGAUGUUGAUGGUGAAGAAGCGGAUGAUGGCAGCGAUGAUGACAUGGGUAUGAUUUAAAAUUAUGGCAUUUUAGAUGUUAAGUAGGUUUAUGACGUAUUAGUGACUUAAAACGAAUUCGGAUUGUGACGUUUAUGUAGUUUACGCUUAUGUAGUUUAUGUUUGGUUGGUUUU